GACGAACGCUGGCGGCGUGCUUAACACAUGCAAGUCGUACGGGAUCCGAGGUAGCAAUACUUUGGUGAGAGUGGCGCACGGGUGCGUAACACGUAUGCAACCUACCUAUAACCGGGACACAACCCACCGAAAGGUGAGCUAAUAUCCCAUAACACUGCGAGAUGGCAUCAUAUUGCAGUUAAAACUCCGGUGGUUAUAGAUGGGCAUGCGCGACAUUAGCUAGUUGGUGAGGUAACGGCCCACCAAGGCUACGAUGUCUAGGGGUUCUGAGAGGAUUAUCCCCCACACUGGUACUGAGACACGGACCAGACUCCUACGGGAGGCAGCAGUAAGGAAUAUUGGUCAAUGGGCGCAAGCCUGAACCAGCCAUGCCGCGUGAAGGAUGACGGCCCUAUGGGUUGUAAACUUCUUUUGUACGGGAAAAAACCACCGGUCGUGUAUCGGUGCUGAUGGUACCGUAAGAAUAAGCAUCCGCUAACUCCGUGCCAGCCGCCGCUGUAAAAC
rnacentral:rRNA from 1 species